GGCCUUAUUGUCUAGGUGGUUAAGACCCGAAUUUUUCACUUUCGUAUUCGAGGGUUCGAGUCCCUCUAAGGUCA
rnacentral:tRNA from 1 species